rnacentral:snoRNA from 1 species
AGCAAAAACUUAUAGACAAGUGCAAAACAAAAUCCUCAUUUGCAACCUAGAACUCAUUGUUCAGUAUGAGUUUUGACACUUAUGAGAAGGAAUAUU